GUGGGGAAUAUUGGGCAAUGGGGGCAACCCUGACCCAGCGACGCCGCGUGAGGGAAGAAGGCCUUAGGGUCGUAAACCUCUGUUGUGUGGGAAGAAGGAAGUGACGGUACCACACGAGGAAGUCCCGGCUAACUACGUGCCAGCAGCCGCGGUAAUACGUAGGGGACGAGCGUUGUCCGGAAUUACUGGGCGUAAAGGGCGCGUAGGCGGUCAUUUAGGUCAGCUGUGAAAUGGUCCGGCUCAACCGGAUCAUGCGGUUGAAACUGGAUGACUGGAGUGCUGGAGAGGCAAGUGGAAUUCCCAGUGUAGCGGUGAAAUGCGUAGAUAUUGGGAAGAACACCGGUGGCGAAGGCGACUUGCUGGCCAGCAACUGACGCUGAGGCGCGAAAGCCAGGGGAGCAAACGGGAUUAGAUACCCGAGUAGUCC
rnacentral:rRNA from 1 species